CCUUGGCAUCAGGAGCCGAAGAAGGACGUGGGAAUCUGCGAUAAGCCUGGUGGAGUCGAUAACCGGACGUUGAGGCCAGGAUUUCCGAAUGGGGAAACCCAGCACGGUGUGAGUCGUGUUACCCGUCACUGAAUUCAUAGGUGGCGUGGAGGGAACGCGGGGAAGUGAAACAUCUCAGUACCCGUAGGAAGAGAAAACAAAAGUGAUUCCGUGAGUAGUGGCGAGCGAAAGCGGAUGGGGCUAAACCUUGUAUGUGUGAUACCCGGCAGGGGUUGCGUAUGGGGUGUUGUGGGGUUAUUUCGUCCAGUCACUGCCGUGGCUGGGGGGUGAGGUGCAGGCGUAUAGGCGAAGCGGUUUGAAUGCCGUGCCGUAGAGGGUGUGAGUCCCGUAGCCGUCAUGCGUGUCUGCCGCUCUAGGAGUGAUACCCGAGUAGCACGGGGCUCGAGGAAUCUCGUGUGAAUCUGCCAGGACCACCUGGUAAGGCUGAAUACUUCCUGGUGACCGAUAGCGGACGAGUACCGUGAGGGAAUGGUGAAAAGUACCCCGGGAGGGGAGUGAAAUAGUACCUGAAACCGUUCGCCUACAAUCCGUCAGAGCCU
rnacentral:rRNA from 1 species